AAGAAACCGUGGAUACCAGACUGCUCUGUGCAUUGGAAAUUCAAAUUUCAGAAUAAGCUGACUGCCAAGAGGGCCCUCCCCCUGUCGGGAGUCCCUUAGUCCAUGGGAAAUUCACAGAGAAGGAAACAGUCACUUUUCCUGCACCUGAGAAGGUGAUUCUGACUCUCCUGGAACCUGAGAACCACCAGUCUACGGGAACAGAGCCCUGCUUUGGGUCAGACGGGGUUUCGCCGGGCUGGUCUCCGCUCCUGACCGCGAGUGAUCCGCCGGCCUCGGCCUCCCGAGGUGCCGGGAUUGCAGAUGGAGUCUCGUUCACUCGGUGCUCAAUGGUGCCCAGGCUGGAGUGCAGUGGCGUGAUCUCGGCUCGCUACAACCACCUCCCAGCCGCCUGCCUUGGCCUCCCGAAGAGCCGAGAUUGCAGCCUCUGCCCGGCCGCCACCCCGUCUGGGAAGUGAGGAGCGUCUCUGCUUGGCCGCCCAUCGUCUGGGAUAUGAGGAGCCCCUCUGCCUGGCUGCCCAGUCUGGAGGGUGAGGAGUGUCUCUGCCCGGCCGCCAUCCCAUCUAGGAAGCGAGGAGCGCCUCUUCCCCGCCG
rnacentral:lncRNA from 1 species